rnacentral:rRNA from 1 species
UACGAAGGGUGCAAGCGUUAAUCGGAAUUACUGGGCGUAAAGCGUGCGUAGGCGGUUGGCUAAGUCAGAUGUGAAAGCCCUGGGCUCAACCUGGGAAUGGCAUUUGAAACUGGCCGGCUAGAGUGUGAUAGAGGAUGGCGGAAUUCCCGGUGUAGCGGUGAAAUGCGUAGAGAUCGGGAGGAACAUCCGUGGCGAAGGCGGCCAUCUGGAUCAACACUGACGCUGAGGCACGAAAAGCGUGGGGAGCAAACAGG